rnacentral:rRNA from 1 species
GACGAACGCUGGCGGCGUGCCUAAUACAUGCAAGUUGAGCGCUGAAGGUUGGUACUUGUACCAACUGGAUGAGCAGCGAACGGGUGAGUAACGCGUGGGGAAUCUGCCUUUGAGCGGGGGACAACAUUUGGAAACGAAUGCUAAUACCGCAUAAAAACUUUAAACACAAGUUUUAAGUUUGAAAGAUGCAAUUGCAUCACUCAAAGAUGAUCCCGCGUUGUAUUAGCUAGUUGGUGAGGUAAAGGCUCAUCAAGGCGAUGAUACAUAGCCGACCUGAGAGGGUGAUCGGACACAUUGGGACUGAGACACGGCCCAAACUCCUACGGGAGGCAGCAGUAGGGAAUCUUCGGCAAUGGACGAAAGUCUGAACGAGCAACGCCGCGUGAGUGAAGAAGGUUUUCGGAUCGUAAAACUCUGUUGGUAGAGAAGAACGUUGGUGAGAGUGGAAAGCUCAUCAAGUGACGGUAACUACCCAGAAAGGGACGGCUAACUACGUG